GUUGAAAAAGUUGGUGGUGAAAUCCCAGAGCUUAACUCUGGAACUGCCAUCAAAACUUUUCAGCUAGAGUAUGAUAGAGGAAAGCAGAAUUUCUAGUGUAGAGGUGAAAUUCGUAGAUAUUAGAAAGAAUACCAAUUGCGAAGGCAGCUUUCUGGAUCAUUACUGACACUGAGGAACGAAAGCAUGGGUAGCGAAGAGGAUUAGAUACCCUCGUAGUCCAUGCCGUAAACGAUGUGUGUUAGACGUUGGAAAUUUAUUUUCAGUGUCGCAGCGAAAGCGAUAAACACACCGCCUGGGGAGUACGACCGCAAGGUUAAAACUCAAAUGAAUUGACGGGGACCCGCACAAGUAGUGGAGCAUGUGGUUUAAUUCGAAGAUACGCGCAGAACCUUACCAACACUUGACAUGUUCGUCGCGACUCUAAGAGAUUAGAGUUUUCGGUUCGGCCGGACGAAACACAGGUGCUGCAUGGCUGUCGUCAGCUCGUGUCGUGAGAUGUUGGGUUAAGUCCCGCAACGAGCGCAACCCUCACUUUUAGUUGCCAUCAUUAAGUUGGGCACUCUGAAAGAACUGCCAGUGAUAAGCUGGAGGAAGGUGGGGAUGACGUCAAGUCCUCAUGGCCCUUACGUGUUGGGCUACACACGUGCUACAAUGGUAUCUACAACAGGAAGCAA
rnacentral:rRNA from 1 species